rnacentral:rRNA from 1 species
AAUGAUUGGGCGUAAAGCGUCUGUNGGUGGCUUUUCAAGUCCGCCGUCNAAUCCCAGGGCUCAACCCUGGACAGGCGGUGGAAACUACCAAUCUGGAGUNCGGUANGGGCAGAGGGAAUUUCCGGUGGANCGGUGAAAUGCGUAGAGAUCGGAAAGAACACCAACGGCGAAAGCACUNUGNUGGGCCGACACUGACACUGAUAGACAAAAGCUANGGGAGCAAAUGGGAUUAUAUACCCCAGUNNUCCUACCCGUNAACNAUNGAUACUAAGCGCUGUGCGUAUNUACCCGUGCAGUGCUGUANCUAACGCGUUAAGUAUCCCGCCUGGGGAGUACGUUCGCAAGAAUGAAACUCAAAGGAAUUGACGGGGGCCCNCACAAGCGGUGGAGCAUGUGGUUUAAUUNUAUGCAAAGCGAAGAACCUUACCAGGGCUUGACAUGCCGUGAAUCCUCUUGAAANAUAGGGGUGCCUUUCAGGAACACUGACACAGGUGGUGCAUGGNUGUCGUCANCUCGUGCCGUANGGUGUUGGGUUAAUU